GAUGAACGCUGGCGGCGUGCUUAACACAUGCAAGUCGAACGGAAAGGCCACAGCUUGCUGUGGUACUCGAGUGGCGAACGGGUGAGUAACACGUGGGUGAUCUGCCCUGUACUUCGGGAUAAGCUUGGGAAACUGGGUCUAAUACCGGAUAGGAAUCACAUGUGGGUGUGUGGUUGGAAAGCUUUUGCGGUAUGGGAUGAGCUCGCGGCCUAUCAGCUUGUUGGUGGGGUAUUGGCCUACCAAGGCGUCGACGGGUAGCCGGCCUGAGAGGGUGUACGGCCACAUUGGGACUGAGAUACGGCCCAGACUCCUACGGGAGGCAGCAGUGGGGAAUAGUGCACAAUGGGCGCAAGCCUGAUGCAGCGACGCCGCGUGGGGGAUGACGGCCUUCGGGUUGUAAACUCCUUUCGUCAGGGACGAAGCGAAAGUGACGGUACCUGGAUAAGAAGCACCGGCUAACUACGUG
rnacentral:rRNA from 1 species